rnacentral:lncRNA from 1 species
CACAGGAUUUUAUUAAAAAGAAACAUUUAUCUAGUACGUUAAUAGGGGAGAUUUUUAACUCGUGAAAUUUUAAAAAAUAUCAUGUAUCCCAUUUUAUUUUUUUAAAACUUUUUAUUGUCAAACUCACCACUCCGUUGUUAAAUGUGACCAUACAUUUUCACAUAUUUUCCACUUCCUUUUUAGUUUUUCUUUUUUUUCGUUCACUUUUUUCUUUCUUAUCUUUUUCCUCAUCUUCUUCCUUACUUGACCUAGUUGUUGCUGAAGUCUUUGUGUCGAUCCUUGCCAAAUCCUAACCUAAACCAAAUCCACAAUACCCCAAACUCAAAUCAAUAACAACUCACGAACCCAAAAACCCUGCAACUGGAUUUUAGCACAACUUGUAAAAUAAGGAGAAAAUUAGAAAAUCGAAGAAGAAAAAACGAAAAACAAAAGAGAGAGAGAGGGAGGGUAAAUAGGUUUAGGGUUUUCCUUGAUUCUUGAAACUCGGAGCAUGUACUGUAAGAUCCCAACGGUGAGGAGUUUCCUUGAAUGGUGUUACGAUUGAUUUCUCAAUACGGUUGGAUAGUCAACCACCGAGAUUGGACUAAAAAACUUUGAACAUUGGCUUAUGAUUUUGAGAUUUUUCAGUUCAUUUCAGGAAAAACUAAAUCAGUAGGGGAGAAUAUAUAUACACAUUUUUUAAAAAAUUUAGAAAAAGGGGUGAAGUGAACAAUUUGAUUAACGAUAAUGAUUAAAUUAAAAAUAGAUUUUUGAGUAAUCAUGAUCUUUUAUCUGUAAAGUAAUUUAUUCUAAAAUAUAUAUUAAUAUAAAUUCAAUGGAUCUCAAUUACAUAUGUAAAAUAUAUUUAUAUACAAACAUAAAAUUAAUAAUUAAUAAUUGAGUUAAAUAACUUAAUUUAAUGAUUAUAUUUAUUUUUUAUUGAAGUUACAAAAAUUGAAAAUGGCUUAAAAUAUUAAAAAUUAGUUUAAAAAAUAUAAAAAUUUCGUAUAUGAACAACUAGUACAAGAUUUCUAUAUUUCUCAUAAUUAUUUUUAUUUUCUAGUUACAUUAAGAAUAAAAUAUAAUCAUUAAAAUUAAAUUAUCUAACUUACUUAAUAAUUUUAAAUUUUAUGUUUUUAUAUAAACAUUUUUUUAGAUAUGUAAAUGAGAUAUAUUUGCUUGUAUUUAAUGUAUAUUUUGUUUUAAAAAAAACUAGAAAUUAGGCUAUAAGUAUAGGAAAAAAAUUAAAAACACUAAUAAAUCUAAAAACAAAUAUUUGUAUAUAGCAGUACCUAUGAUAACUUUGGUACUGGUUGUUUAUAUACAAAUAUAAAAUUAUUAAUUAUUAAUUAUGUUAAAUAAUAUAAUUUGAUGAUUAUAUUUUAUUUUAAUGCAAGCAAAAAAAUGAUUAGCAAAAAAAUUCUUUAAAAAUAAAAAAAUUUCUAUAAAAAUUUAAAAUUAUAAUUAUGUGAAAAUUAAUAAAAUCAUAGUCUUAAAAAAUUAAAAAAAAUUGAGUUAGGUUAAAAUUCAAAAAUUAUAAAAAUAUUGAAAUAUCAAAAAGUUCUUUAAAAUUUUCAGAAAGUUUGCUAUUUUAAUUUUUUUAAAUUAUUAAAAAUAUUUUUAAAACUAUAAUUAUGUAUGUUGAUUGAGGUUUAGCUCAAUCUUACUUCUCGAAAGUGUUUUUGGGCCAAUUUUGUCCCAAAAGUACUUUUGAAAAGCUUAAAAGUAUUUUGUUUAACAAAUGUUAAAUUGGUCUUGAGUUUUAGGACUAUUGUUGGUGUGAGUUUGAGUAUAUUAAAGCGCAUAUAGAUUAAAAAGAAACUAAAAAUAGUGAUCAAAAUUUAUAAUGAGUAAUUAUGUAAAAAAUUAAAAUUUCAUAAAAUCUAAGAAAAAGAACCUUCCAAGCCCUUUCACUUUGUAAGAAAAUCCUCUCUCUUUUCCAGCCCAUCGCAUCAAUAAAAAUGGUUAAAUUUUGUACAGAUUUUACUUCAGCCAUUUUAAAUAGGUAAAUAUGUAAACAGGCUACCAUCAAACAAAAACAACAAAAAAACCAAAAGAAUUAUUGAUUUAUUGUUCGACACUGCAUCAAAAUAUAGUAAAUUUCUGAGGUGAAAAUAAAUUAAAAACAAAAAAAGUUACCAUAUUCUAAUCAAUUAAAAGUUCAAGAUAAAGAAAAUUUAGGUUAACAAAUCAAUGGAACUUUAAGUUUUUAGAUAAUUAAAAAUAGGCAAAAAAAAUUAUCAGCACUUCCCAAUAAGUAACUCAAAAAUUAACAUCGGAAUUAAAAAAAUAAUAAUUACCUGAAAGGUCUCAAGCAAUGGCGACGACUUGUUGUUUCAGAGGCUCAAGGAUGUUGUUUGAUUUUUUGCCUGUCUCCAUUUUCUUUACAUGGAUAUACAUGUACGUUGAUGUCACUGUAAAAAAAACAGAAACCAUUUUCAUUUCAUUUGUCCGCUGUGGGUUGAAGUGAUAGAGGACAAAGCUUGAACGGUGGUCCUGUUUUCGACCGGAGAGGAUGUCGGCAUGGUGGUUCAAGUGGCGGAAAUGGGGUUGAAAGCAGAAAGGUUGCUUUUUCAGAAAGUUCAAAGGUUUGAAAGGUUGUUUUUAGAAUUUUGUGAAAUUUUCAAUUUUUUUACGUAAUUAUAGUUUUAAAAACAUUUUUUAUAAUUUCAAAAAUAAAAUAACAAAAUUUCAGAGUUUUUCAAAGAAUUUUUUGAUAUUUUUACA